AGUAAGUUUUGGUCAAGCGUUUAAGGGCAUACGGUGGAUGCCUUGGCGUCAAAGGCGAUGAAGGGCGUAGCAAGCUGCGAUAAGCUUCGGGGAGCCGCUAACAGGCGUUGAUCCGGAGAUUCCCGAAUGGGGCAACUCGGCACAGGUCAUACUGUGUCAUCCCUGGCUGAAUCCAUAGGUCAGUGAGGGUAACCGGGGGAAUUGAAACAUCUUAGUACCCCGAGGAAAAGAAAGUAACCACGAUUCUCCUAGUAGCGGCGAGCGAACGGGGAUCAGCCUAAACCAGACUGUACGUUAAAACCCGUGUGUGUUGUACAUCUGGGGUUGUGGGGCUCAAUCGGGCGGGGAUACGGACCCGCCGGAAUGUUACAAAAGUGCGUUUUAGCUUAAUGAGCUGGAAAGUUCAGCCAUAGACGGUGAUAGCCCGGUGAGCGAAAAGGCGUACUCAUUCUGGGUUGAGUACCCGAGUACUGCGGGACACGUGAAAUCCUGCAGGAAUCUGGGAGGACCACCUCCUAAGGCUAAAUACCUAUGACGACCGAUAGCGAACUAGUACCGUGAGGGAAAGGUGAAAAGCACCCCGGUGAGGGGAGUGAAAUAGAAUAUGAAACCGCAUGCCUACAAUCAGUGGGAGCACUAUGGUCUCGGCUUGCCGAGAUGAUGUGUGACCGCGUACCUUUUGCAUAAUGAGCCGCCGACUUACUUUACUCAGCAAGGUUAAGCCGCUAGGUGUAGCCGCAGCGAAAGCGAGUCUGAACAGGGCGAACAGUUGCGUGGGGUAGACCCGAAGCCGGGUGAUCUAUCCAUGGCCAGGGUGAAGCGAAGGUAACACUUCGUGGAGGCCCGAACCAGUAGACGUUGAAAAGUCUUUGGAUGAGUUGUGGAUAGGGGUGAAAGGCCAAUCAAACUCGGCAAUAGCUGGUUCUCCCCGAAAUAGUUUUAGGACUAGCCUCGUGUCAUAGUUUAUGGAGGUAGGGCUCUGGAUGGGCUAGGGGCCUCACCAGGUUACCAAACCCAACCAAUCUUCGAAUUCCAUAAACCGUAUCACGGGAGUCAGACUAUGGGUGCUAAGGUCCAUGGUCGAAAGGGAAAGAGCCCAGACCACCAGCUAAGGUCCCUAAGAUAGACUAAGUGGGAAAGGUUGUAGGAAUACACAGACAAUAAGGAGGUUGGCUUAGAAGCAGCAAUCCUUUAAAGAAAGCGUAACAGCUCACUUAUCAAGUGUCCCUGCGCCGAAAAUUUAACGGGGCUAAAGUCUAUCACCGAAGCUGUGGAUUGGUUGUGAUUUCGGUCACAACCUCUGGUAGAGGAGCGUUCCAUACCGGGUUGAAGCCCGACCGUAAGGACGGGUGGACUGUAUGGAAGCGAGUAUGCCGGCAUGAGUAACGAUAAAACAGGUGAGAAACCUGUUCGCCGAAAACCCAAGGUUUCC
rnacentral:rRNA from 2 species